UUGGAGGGCAAGUCUGGUGCUAGCAGCCGCGGUAAUUCCAGCUCCAAUAGCGUAUAUUAAAGUUGUUGCAGUUAAAAAGCUCGUAGUCGAAUUUCGGGAUCAAUAUUUCGGUCAUGCCGUUGGUAUGCACUGUUAUCAUUGAUUUCUCACCUUCUAAAGAACCGUGAUGCCAUUAAUUUGGUGUUACGGGGAAUUAGGACUGUUACCUUGAAAAAAUUAGAGUGUUUAAAGCAGGCUCACGCUUGAAUACAUUAGCAUGGAAUAAUGAAAUAGGACAUCCGAUUCUAUUUUGUUGGUUUCUAGGAUCGAUGUAAUGAUUAAUAGGGAUAGUUGGGGGCAUUAGUAUUCAAUUGUCAGAGGUGAAAUUCUUGGAUUUAUUGAAGACUAACUACUGCGAAAGCAUUUGCCAAGGAUGUUUUCAUUAAUCAAGAACGAAAGUUAGGGGAUCGAAGACGAUCAGAUGCCGUCGUAGUCUUAACCAUAAACUAUGCCGACUAGGGAUCGGAUGAUGUUAAUUUUUUAAUGACUCAUUCGGCGCCUUACGGGAAAC
rnacentral:rRNA from 1 species